AUUUAACGCUGGCGGCAGGCUUAACACAUGCAAGUCGAGCGGGGGAAGGUAGCUUGCGACCGGACCUAGCGGCGGACGGGUGAGUAAUGCUUAGGAAACUGCCUAUUAGUGGGGGACAACAACUCGAAAGGCAUGCUAAUACCGCAUACGUCCUACGGGAGAAAGCAGGGGAUCUUCGGACCUUGCACUAAUAGAUGAGCCUAAGUCGGAUUAGCUAGUUGGUGGGGUAAAGGCCUACCAAGGCGACGAUCUGUAGCGGGUCUGAGAGGAUGAUCCGCCACACUGGGACUGAGACACGGCCCAGACUCCUACGGGAGGCAGCAGUGGGGAAUAUUGGACAAUGGGGGGAACCCUGAUCCAGCCAUGCCGCGUGUGUGAAGAAGGCCUUAUGGUUGUAAAGCACUUUAAGCGAGGAGGAGGCUACUCUAGUUAAUACCUAGGGAUAGUGGACGUUACUCGCAGAAUAAGCACCGGCUAACUCUGUGCCAGCCGCCGCGGUAA
rnacentral:rRNA from 1 species